rnacentral:rRNA from 1 species
CCUACGGGAGGCAGCAGUGAGGAAUAUUGCGCAAUGGGCGAAAGCCUGACGCAGCGACGCCGCGUGAGGGAUGAAGUUCUUCGGAUCGUAAACCUCUGUCAGCAGGGACGAACGGUCACUGUGCUAAUCAGCAGUGAAUUGACGGUACCUGCACAGGAAGCACCGGCUAACUCCGUGCCAGCAGCCGCGGUAAUACUGAGGGUGCGAGCGUUAAUCGGAAUUACUGGGCGUAAAGCGCUCGUAGGCGGUAUGUCAAGUCAAGGGUGAAAUCCCAGAGCUCAACGUGGGAACUGCCUUUGAAACUGGCAAACUGGAGUGUGGGAGAGGAUAGUGGAAUUCCAGGUGUAGGAGUGAAAGCCGUAGAUAUCUGGAGGAACAUCAGUGGCGAAGGCGACUAUCUGGCACAUAACUGACGCUGAGGAGCGAAAGCGUGGGUAGCAAACAGGAUUAGAUACCCCAGUAGUC